UUCAGAUGAUCCGAGGAAGUUGUGGAGACACUUUCUAUCAUCUUUCUAAUUUCAUGAUCCAAUAAGAGGGAAUCUGGAAAUGAGUACGGCCAACAUAAGGAAAGUGACAUCUUUUGGGCAACAAAUUUAUUAUAAAGAAACAAGUAUGAGAUCUGCAAAAGCCCUAAACAAAUGCUCAUAAUACCAAUGAAAGAUAAGUUUUACUGAACAUGAUUACAACUUACUCGAUAAAAUCAUCAGCCUCCAUGAUUGAUCUCUUACAAAGAUCAUGCAAAGAUGAUUGUGUAUGUGACCAGUAAGAUGCAGAGUGGGCACCUUUCUUCAAGCUGCAAUGGACAGUGCCUCUUCAUCAUAACAAUUAAUGGAAAUAAAAGCACUUCAAGAGUGAAUAGCUGAUUCAAUUGCUCUAUGUUUGAGGCUGGCAGAAGUAAGACUUCUUUUCAAUCCCUGAAAAUAAACAUCCGAUGGGUUGCUGCAUCAACUAAAUAUGUUCCAUACAGGCACAUGAACUAACAAGAUCAAGGAGACAUACAGCCUGUUGUAGCUCUGCAGAAAGGGCUAAAAGUUCCUUGAGCUCUGAAGUAGAUUUCAGAACAUCAUCCAGAAUUUAUUCAGCUUCCGAAAACAUCAUUGCUAGAAAUUGUUAUUGUUCAUAUAUAUAGAAAAUAACUAGAAAUGGUCGAGGCGUUGCCGCGUGGGGCCAAUGAAGUGGCCGUUUGAGUUAUGCGUUGUUUUUCAUAGUACAUUUCAGUUAGGAUAUGUACUAUCCUCUCUGCAGGUGAUGGUUUUGUCAUAUUCUUUCAGUGAAUGAGUUAUUUACU